AUUCCGUUAUGUGGACACUUCCUCAACAAUUCCUUGAAUCUUUCCCAUGUUUCAAACACUAUUUCUUAUUCUAGUUGACUAAAAUUGCUGAUCUCCUUCCUCAUUCU
rnacentral:snoRNA from 1 species